GACAUCUUCAUGUUAGGAGAUGGUUAUCCGCACAUAUUGGUCAACAAUGUGAAAUUCAGCUCCGUACGAUUUUUCUGAAUACAGUUCCUUCAAUUAUCACGUUAAAUGAACCGUUGAAUUUAUAAUAAAAUUGGCUUGCAUCGCGUCUUCUUCGGUCGAAUAUAACGAGAAUUUUAUAGCGAGUUAAAAUUUCAUAACACGUGCACAAAUUUCAAUUUUUUUUCGUUGGCAGCAUUCCAAAGUUAUAUUUUCGAGGCGUUCGUGUUCUGUAUAGUCUACACAAAUUUUAUCAUAACGUGGCUAAGUAAAUUGACAAUAAUAAUAAAAACACAUGGCAACAAUGCGAAGAAGAAAACGCCAUUCUAGUCGUCCUUCAAGGAUGCCAUCAAGCCCUGAACCGCGAACACGACGUAAUAAUAUACAAGUAAAACGCGGCACGAUUGCACGAUACACGAUGUAAUUUUUUCGAUCCAAUGUGCUAGACGUUAAAUAUUGUGCUUAUACACGUAGACUCUUGGUUUGAGAUAAUGGCCAAUGGUCAAUCAUUUCGACCAUGUCUGAACUGAUACAAUUCCGGCAUGUGCAAAGAGACAAUAAGGUCAGUUCAGCCGGAAUAUCAACAGAACCGGCCAUAAUGAUCAAAUUUAUGGUACGUCAAACGAGAGUACUGCACAAAAAGGCACUGGGCAGCACAAUGCACAAAUGACCCAAAUGAUGCAUAAGGAACAGCAACGGACCAAAAUGCAGAACAGCCGCGCCGGAGCCCUAUCUUCACUCACCACUCAAAAACAAACACACUAUAAGAAAUUAACACGGAAAUUCGACUACGACAGGAAAGUAUCUCAAAUUCAAUCAAAUUUAAACAAAAUUUUGAAAAUCAAGCCACUCAAUACUCUGCAAACCGCACCAAAAGAAUUUCAAAAUUAGGUAAAUUUACCUUUACCUACCUAUCUUUUAUCUCCAAAGUGUUUCGGAGUCAUAAAAAUUCCUUUACUGAUACGAAAAAUUAAUUAUCAAUUACGUAUUUACACUUCAUUAGUAAUACAGACAUCGCUUCAAUAUUCUUAUCAAUUCGGAAAUUCAUAAAAAAGAAAAAGGGAUUUUUCCAAACUCACCUACUACACAUUUUCAACAAAAUUUACAUCAUCAAAAAUCACCACAAGUGUAUAAAUAAUUGAAAAAAUUUCGCCGAACACUGAACUUUUGUAAACAAUCAUAAAAAAAACGUGAUACAAAAUCGAAUCGAACCACCUUUUCCAGCAGAACCGAAUAGCAAUUGAAAAUGACUCGUUUUGUUCUCU